UGGGGAAUAUUGCACAAUGGGCGCAAGCCUGAUGCAGCCAUGCCUCGUGUAUGAAGAAGGCCUUCGGGUUGUAAAGUACUUUCAGCGGGGAGGAAGGGAGUAAAGUUAAUACCUUUGCUCAUUGACGUUACCCGCAGAAGAAGCACCGGCUAACUCUGUGCCAGCAGCCGCGGUAAUACGGAAGGUGCAAUCGUUAAUCGGAAUUAUUGAGCGUAAAGCGCACGCAGGCGGUUGAUUGAGUCAGAUGUGAAAUCCCCGAGCUUAACACGGGAAUUGCAUGUGAUACUGGUCAGCUAGAGUCUUGUAGAGGGGGGUAGAAUUCCAUGUGUUGCGGUGAAAUGCGUAGAGAUGUGGAGGAAUACCGGUGGCGAAGGCGGCAACAUGGACAAAUACUGACGCUCAGGUGCGAAAGCGGGGGGAGCAAACAGG
rnacentral:rRNA from 1 species